UGAAGCAUGAGUAAAAUCAUGUGAAGGUCCGAACCAGUAUAUGUUGAAAAAUAUUUGGAUGAGUUGUGGAUAGGGGUGAAAGGCCAAUCAAACUUGGAGAUAUCUUGUUCUCUCCGAAAUAACUUUAGGGUUAGCCUCGACUUUUAAGACUUCUAGGGGUAGAGCACUGGAUUCCCAAGGGGGCCUACCGGCCUACCGACGGAAACCAAACUCCGAAUACUAGAAGUUAAGUCGGGAGAUAGACAGUGGGGGAUAAGCUUCAUUGUCGAAAGGGGAACAGCCCAGAUCGCCGAUUAAGGCCCCAAAUUCUAUGCUAAGUGAGUAAGGAUGUGAAGUUUCUAAGACAGUUGGAAUGUUGGCUUAGAGGCAGCCACCAUUUAAAGAGUGCGUAAUAGCUCACCAAUCGAGAGACUUUGCGCCGAUAAUAAUCGGGGCUAAGCAUAGAGCCGAAAUCGCGGGUGUACCACAUUAGUGGUAUGCGGUAGGAGAGCGUAGUAUGUGCAUUGAAGAUAUACCGUAAGGAGUGUUGGAGCGCAUACUAGUGAGGAUGCAUGGCAUAAGUACACGAUAAAGGAAGUGAGAAUCUUCCUCGCCGAAAGCCUAAGGUUUCCAGGGUAAAGCUCGUCUUCCCUGGGUUAGCCGGUCCCUAAGCCGAGGCUGAAAAGCGUAGGCGAUGGAAAGCAGGUUAAAUAUUCCUGUGCCACCUAAAACUAUGAUGAUGGGGUGACGAAGUAUGUUAAGCACGCGGACUAUUGGAUGUCCGUUACUUUAUGAGGCUGGUCAGUAGGCAAAUCCGCUGACAUAAGGCUAGGUAAAGGGCAAGGGAAAUCCUCGGAGGAACCGAUGGUGUGGCGCUACGCUUCCAAGAAAUAACCUCUAAUCGUUGAUGGUGACCGUACCAAAACCGACACAGGUAGGCAAGAUGAGUAUUCUCAGGCGCGCGAGACAACUCUCGUUAAGAACUCGGCAAAUUAUCCUCGUAACUUCGGGAGAAGAGGAGCCCCUAGAUGUGAAGCUUCGCGGCGUAAGCAUCCAGGGGCCGCAGAGAAAUGGCCCAGGCGACUGUUUAUCAAAAACACAGCACUAUGCAAACUCGUCUAAGAGGAAGUAUAUGGUGUGAUGCCUGCCCAAUGCCAAAAGGUCAAAAGGAGAUGUUAGCUUUUCGGAGCGAAGCAUUGAAUUUAAGCCCUGGUGAAUGGCGGCCGUAACUAUAACGGUCCUAAGGUAGCGAAAUUCCUUGUCGGGUAAGUUCCGACCUGCACGAAUGGCGCAACGAUCUGGGCGCUGUCUCAACGAGAGACUCGGUGAAAUUGUAGUAGCGGUGAAGAUGCCGUUUACCCGCAGCUAGACGGAAAGACCCCGUGAACCUUUACUGUACUCUGAUAUUGGCUUUUGAUUUGUCAUAUGUAGGAUAGCCGGAAGACUUUGAAGGAAAUUCGUCAGGAUUUCUGGAGUCUCCCUUGAAAUACCGGCUUUGACAAAUUGGAAAUCUAACGAAGCCCCGUGAAUCCGGGGUUCGGACAUUGUCAGACGGGCAGUUUGACUGGGGCGGUAUCCUCCUAAAAAGUAACGGAGGAGUCCAAAGCUUGUCUCAUCGUGGUUGGCAAUCACGAGUAGAGCGUAAAGGUAUAAGACAAGUUAACUGCGAGACCAACGAGUCGAGCAGAUACGAAAGUAGGGCUUAGUGAUCCGGCGGUUUGAAAGUGGAAUCGCCGUCGCUUAACGGAUAAAAGGUACUCCGGGGAUAACAGGCUUAUCGCCACCAAGAGUUCAUAUCGACGUGGCGGUUUGGCACCUCGAUGUCGGCUCAUCGCAUCCUGGGGCUGCAGAAGGUCCCAAGGGUUUGGCUGUUCGCCAAUUAAAGC
rnacentral:rRNA from 1 species